rnacentral:rRNA from 1 species
CACACUGGAACUGAGACACGGUCCAGACUCCUACGGGAGGCAGCAGUGGGGAAUUUUCCGCAAUGGGCGAAAGCCUGACGGAGCAACGCCGCGUGGAUGAUGAAGUCUUUCGGGACGUAAAAUCCUUUCAGCAGGGACGAAGCGAGUGACGGUACCUGCAGAAGAAGCAUCGACUAACUACGUGCCAGCAGCCGCGGUAAUACGUAGGAUGCGAGCGUUGUCCGGAAUUAUUGGGCGUAAAGAGAACGUAGGCGGCCAUCUAAGUCUGGUCUUAAAGACUGGGGCUCAACCCCAGGAGUGGACUGGAAACUGGGUGGCUUGAGGACGUCAGAGGGAAGUGGAAUUCCAAGUGUAGCGGUGAAAUGCGUAGAUAUUUGGAGGAACACCAGUGGCGAAAGCGACUUCCUGGGACGUUUCUGACGCUGAGGUUCGAAAGCUCGGGGAGCAAACAGGAUUAGAUACCCUGGUAGUCCGAGCCGUAAACGAUGGAUACUAGGUGUUGAGGGUAUCGACCCCCUCAGUGCCGUAGCUAACGCGUUAAGUAUCCCGCCUGGGGAGUACGGUCGCAAGACUGAAACUCAAAGGAAUUGACGGGGGCCCGCACAAGCGGUGGAGCAUGUGGUUUAAUUCGAUGCAACGCGAAGAACCUUACCAAGGCUUGACAUCCCUGGAACCCCGAUGAAAGUUGGGGGUGCCGCAAGGAACCAGGAGACAGGUGGUGCAUGGCUGUCGUCAGCUCGUGUCGUGAGAUGUUGGGUUAAGUCCCGCAACGAGCGCAACCCUCGACGUUAGUUGCUAGCAGGUUAUGCUGAGCACUCUGACGUGACUGCCGGUGACAAACCGGAGGAAGGUGGGGAUGACGUCAAGUCAUCAUGCCCCUUAUGCCUUGGGCUACACACGUGCUACAAUGGUCGGGACAGUAGGUUGCAAA